rnacentral:rRNA from 1 species
UACAGAGGGGGCAAGCGUUGUUCGGAAUUACUGGGCGUAAAGGGCGCGUCGGCGGCCUUCUAAGUCGAACGUGAAAUCCCCGGGCUCAACCCGGGAACUGCGUCCGAUACUGGAAGGCUUGAAUCCGGGAGAGGGAUGUGGAAUUCCAGGUGUAGCGGUGAAAUGCGUAGAUAUCUGGAGGAACACCGGUGGCGAAGGCGACAUCCUGGACCGGUAUUGACGCUGAGGCGCGAAAGCCAGGGGAGCAAACGGG